GGUCAAGCUAAUAAGGGCUGAUGGU
rnacentral:rRNA from 2 species